AUUGAACGCUGGCGGCAGGCCUAACACAUGCAAGUCGAACGAGUGGCGGACGGGUGAGUAAUGUCUGGGAAACUGCCCGAUGGAGGGGGAUAACGACUGGAAACGGUAGCUAAUACCGCAUACCAUCGGAUGUGCCCAGAUGGGCUUAGCUUGUAGGUGAGGUAACGGCUCACCUAGGCUACGAUCCCUAGCUGGUCUGAGAGGAUGACCAGCCACACUGGAACUGAUACAUGGGCCAGACUCCUACGUGAGGCAGCAGUGGGGAAUAUUGCACAAUGGGCGCAAUCCAGAUGCAGCCAGGCCGCGUGUAUGAAGAAGGCCUUAGGGUUGUAAAGUACUUUCAUCGGGGAGGCGUUACCCGCAGAAGAAUCACCGGCUAACUCCGUGCCAGCCGCCGCGGUAAUAC
rnacentral:rRNA from 1 species